AAGGAAUUGGAACAAACUUGUCGACAUACUUAUCUAAAGAGGAUCACAAUUGAGCAUUGUUGGAGUAUUGAAUUGACUUAUUAAUAACGAAUAUAUAUAUAUAUUGUGAAAAUUAUGACUUAAAAUCCUAAUGGGAUUUGGGGAGAGAUUUUUUUCCUAAUUUGAGUGGGAAAAAUAUUGAGGUAUAUUUCCUAUUUCCUAUAUAGAGUAAAACUCCUAUUUUAAUAUUAUUCCUUAAUUGAGUAAGAUUCCUAAUUAAAUUAAAACUGGGAGACUAACCCUAUAAAUAGAAGUAUUGAGUAGGUUAUGUCUAGAGGAGACUGAGAGGACUAACUAAUAUAUAUGCUUGUAGGUUUUCUUGGGUGUAAUUAGAUUGAUGG
rnacentral:misc_RNA from 1 species